CUGAUACAAAAAACAACAAAUAAGAUUGUGACCUUUACAUACAAACUUUUUCAUGUAGUUCUCUAAUCCUAAACCCCUAAUGAACGGAUAUGUACUUUUGCAAAAACACAGUACUAGCCAGUUCAUAACAUCCUCAUUUACAUGAGCAAUUAAAAACUCAAAGACAUUAUACAUCCUUGAAGAGUUGGGUUCAUGAUCGACCAGGUGUGCACUUACAGAAAGUUGCUUUUACAUGGUCCAAAGCUCUUCAAUUCUAACUUGCAGUUGAUUGUUACCGAUAGAUGACCACACAUUUGCACUUCAACAGUUCAACCGCCACUGGACAUUCAUUCUUUUGUUUUCAAUAAGCACACCACUUGCGCCAUAUCAGUAUUGACAUCAUGUUUAUCCUAUUAACAUUUUCAUGUUUGAGAACAUAUGUAUCGACAGUAAACUUGAUUGCAUCAGCCGGAGCACAUGUUCCGGAUGGUACAUUCUGGUUUUCAGGCCCUUAGACCGAGAAAUUAGUUUCACAAGAUCAGGUUGUUCCAUGUGAAUAUUCAGACUUUGACUCUGGUCUAUGAAGAAACUCUGGUUAACAGCCAUAUCAACCAAUGUCUUUUGCAUGAUUUCCCACACUAUCCUAAAAUUAUGCUGCACUACUGCCUUAGCUUGAUAAUAAGAAAUCAUAAAUAAGAAACAUAAUGCAGACAGGGAAAAGAUAUACUUGCAGAUAGCUUUGAGUUGCCCCAGAAUCCUAGGAAUUUUCGCAACAGAGCAUUCUCAUAAAUUAUCUUGUAUUAUGUGACCAAAGACCAGUCUCUGUUAAGUCAUGGUGGAGGUUUGCUCACCACAACAAAUUCACCACCGAAAAUGAGGAAUUAGAUGGCUGCAGAUACACACUUUAAAUAACUAAGUUUAAUAGAUAGAAGCAAACCUUAAAACUCUGGAGCUAUGAAUAUUAGAGGCAUAAGGUUCAAAACACUCCUGGUUGCCAAGAAUCUGGUUUGUUGAAACAGUGGGCAUAGGUGCUACCAAAAGGGAAUUUCUUAUCCCAUUCUUCAAGAUCAUUUCCCUGAGAGCAUCUCAAUCCCAUCUAUCUGAUGGCAUCACACCCCAAAUGUCCAUCUGUAAAGCUUUCAAAAGGC
rnacentral:misc_RNA from 1 species